rnacentral:rRNA from 1 species
UGUUUUAUCUUGCACAAUGGGCGCAAGCCUGAUGCAGCCAUGCCGCGUGUGUGAAGAAGGCCUUCGGGUUGUAAAGCACUUUCAGCGGGGAGGAAGGCGAUAAGGUUAAUAACCUUGUCGAUUGACGUUACCCGCCGACGAAGCACCGGCUACCUCCGUGCCAGCCGCCGCGGUAAUACGGAGGGUGCAAGCGUUCAUCGGAAUUACUUGGCGUAAAGCGCACGCAGGCGGUCUGUCAAGUCGGAUGUGAAAUCCCCGGGCUUAACCUGGGAACUGCAUUCGAAACUGGCAGGCUAGAGUCUUGUAGAGGGGGGUAGAAUUCCAGGUGUAGCGGUGAAAUGCGUAGAGAUCUGGAGGAAUACCGGUGGCGAAGGCGGCCCCCUGGACAAAGACUGACGCUCAGGUGCGAAAGCGUGGGGAGCAAACAGG